rnacentral:rRNA from 1 species
AGUGAACGCUGGCGGUAGGCCUAACACAUGCAAGUCGAACGGCAGCACAGGAGAGCUUGCUCUCUGGGUGGCGAGUGGCGGACGGGUGAGGAAUACAUCGGAAUCUACUCUGUCGUGGGGGAUAACGUAGGGAAACUUACGCUAAUACCGCAUACGACCUACGGGUGAAAGCAGGGGACCUUCGGGCCUUGCGCGAUUGAAUGAGCCGAUGUCGGAUUAGCUAGUUGGCGGGGUAAAGGCCCACCAAGGCGACGAUCCGUAGCUGGUCUGAGAGGAUGAUCAGCCACACUGGAACUGAGACACGGUCCAGACUCCUACGGGAGGCAGCGGUGGGGAAUAUUGGACAAUGGGCGCAAGCCUGAUCCAGCCAUACCGCGUGGGUGAAGAAGGCCUUCGGGUUGUAAAGCCCUUUUGUUGGGAAAGAAAUCCAGCUGGCUAAUACCCGGUUGGGAUGACGGUACCCAAAGAAUAAGCACCGGCUAUCUUCGUGCCAGCAGCCGCGGUAA